rnacentral:misc_RNA from 1 species
CCCGCCCUAAAAUAGAACAACUAUUUACAAAUAUGAUUGAAAAGAAAUGACAGUGUAAGGAGUUCUCAAGCAGAUGGCAUAGAUGCGGAAGUGACUACAUAUGACAAGUAUUGUAACCCAUCCUGGAUUGUGCUCACUGCAGUGGUCCGGUCAGUACGGAUAAGUUCUGACAAGGUAUUAGCUUUUUCUUGGAUCGAUGUCUUUGGAAGAUUAUCAUGGGAAUCUGCAGUAGCACUCUUCAUGGCAGCUACAUAAGCCUCAGCUACAUCAGAAAUGCCUGUUACAAAACCGUUGCAAACUGCUUCAACAUAUCCUGCCAUGGAUUGUGCCUUUGUUCGGAUUACCUUAGCUUUUUCGACAGAAUCUUCAGGCCAGUCAAUGUUCACGAUAUCCCCAUCAACAUCUUCUUCCUGCACUUUGUUAGCAGUGGAUAUGAUGGACUUUCCGAGCAUCAGAAGUUGAGACACAGCUGAGCUGCACAUUUCAGAAAGCCUAUGAACCCCCUCUGAGUGAAGAGUUUCUAAUCUCCCAGCAGUUCUUUGAACAAUGUCAUUUGCAGUAAGUCCUGCUAGGGCACUUGUAAACCCUGCAGCCAUGUCAGCAGCUUUGUUGACACUUGAAUCGUGUAAGUUUUUCAUCUCAUAGCUACUUCCUUCAGUUCCGGUCUCUAUUUUCUUCCCUUUGUUGGACUCAGUAUCAUUCUCAUCCAUUUCAAUACUCAAAUUGAACAUUUGCUGAACAAGUUUAAGCUUUCCGUCAUAUACAGACUUCAGUUCCAAAGGUAAUUUUGCUUUUCUCCGGUUAAAUAAGAGGGCAUAAUGGCUGGACAAUGCCUCAAGCUCCUCCAAUUGUUCUGGACCUCCAUAUAUAUAGAAGCAUCGAUCAAAUGUUACUUCCUCAUUUAACUGAUCCUCAUCAGCUUCUCGUUCAGAGCCUUUAGGAUUUUUCUCAACUUCAAUACCAGUCUCUGUGAUUAGCAGAUCCAUGGUCUCCUUGCCAACAUAUUCAAGCACUUGCAUUCCCUUCGCAGUAAAAGAUUUUCCAGUCUCUAGUAAGGAUGGUGCACCAGCUCCUCCUGGUAUGCUACCAUGUUGGAUUGAUUCAGCAAGGUUCACAGCUGAAUGCUCAAGUUUUUGAACUAAAUUGGAACCCCCUUUCCAUGCACUUCCUAAUGCUUGCCAUGCUCCUGACGCAAAAUUCUCCACAGAGUGAUCAAGAACCUUCAAACCCUGGCCUAGAAAGGAAUC